UAGGGAAUCUUCGGCAAUGGGGGGAACCCUGACCGAGCAACGCCGCGUGAGUGAAGAAGGUUUUCGGAUCGUAAAGCUCUGUUGUUAAGGAAGAACGAGUGUGAGAAUGGAAAGUUCAUACUGUGACGGUACUUAACCAGAAAGGGACGGCUAACUACGUGCCAGCAGCCGCGGUAAUACGUAGGUCCCGAGCGUUGUCCGGAUUUAUUGGGCGUAAAGCGAGCGCAGGCGGUUAGAUAAGUCUGAAGUUAAAGGCAGUGGCUCAACCAUUGUAGGCUUUGGAAACUGUUUAACGUGAGUGCAGAAGGGGAGGGUGGAAUUCCAUGUGUAGCGAUGAAAUGCGUAGAUAUAUGGAGGAACACCGGUGGCGAAAGCGGCUCUCUGGUAUGUAACUGACGCUGAGGCUCGGAAGCGUGGGGAGCGAACAGG
rnacentral:rRNA from 1 species